GGGGGCGUAUUGGAAUUGACAGGAAAGCGCACUACUUAGUAAGCAUGCCGGAGCACGAUUGUUCAUCUCCGUUAACAACUGACGAUCAACAACUUUAAAUGGCAAUACUCAGUAUGCCAUGGCUGCCUAAGACUAGGUCUUAGAAGCCAUUGUGCCCUUCGCUUGAUGCUCAAUACACAGCGAACCUGCACAUCAUCCAACCCUUUGAGCUAGCCUUUCGGCGCUGCCCGAACCGACAGGCGAAUCUUCAGGGCUAAGGCAUCCGUUGCGGUGGGUCUCCCAACCUUUCGGAUGCUCGAAAACCUUAAGAGGAGACUAAGCAUGUAGAAAGCUAUUUAGUACUUUCUCUGGACGGGGGUUCGACUCCCCCCGCCUCCACAA
rnacentral:tmRNA from 1 species